AGUCUGACGGAGCACGCCGCGUGAGUGAUGAAGGUUUUCGGAUCGUAAAGCUCAGUUGUUAGGGAAGAACAAGUGCGAGAGUAACUGCUCGCACCUUGACGGUACCUAACCAGAAAGCCACGGCUAACUACGUGCCAGCAGCCGCGGUAAUACGUAGGUGGCAAGCGUUGUCCGGAAUUAUUGGGCGUAAAGGGCUCGCAGGCGGUUUCUUAAGUCUGAUGUGAAAGCCCCCGGCUCAACCGGGGAGGGUCAUUGGAAACUGGGAAACUUGAGUGCAGAAGAGGAGAGUGGAAUUCCACGUGUAGCGGUGAAAUGCGUAGAGAUGUGGAGGAACACCAGUGGCGAAGGCGACUCUCUGGUCUGUAACUGACGCUGAGGAGCGAAAGCGUGGGGAGCGAACAGGAUUAGAUACCCUGGUAGUCCACGCCGUAAACGAUGAGUGCUAAGUGUUAGGGGGUUUCCGCCCCUUAGUGCUGCAGCUAACGCAUUAAGCACUCCGCCUGGGGAGUACGGUCGCAAGACUGAAACUCAAAGGAAUUGACGGGGA
rnacentral:rRNA from 1 species